rnacentral:rRNA from 1 species
GGAUUAGAUACCCUGGUAGUCCACGCCGUAAACGAUGUCAACUAGCCGUUGGAGAUCUUAGUAUCUUUAGUGGCGUAGCUAACGCGCUAAGUUGACCGCCUGGGGAGUACGGUCGCAAGAUUAAAACUCAAAUGAAUUGACGGGGGCCCGCACAAGCGGUGGAGCAUGUGGUUUAAUUCGACGCAACGCGAAGAACCUUACCUGGUCUUGACAUCCUCAGAACUUUCCAGAGAUGGAUUGGUGCCUUCGGGAACUGAGUGACAGGUGCUGCAUGGCUGUCGUCAGCUCGUGCCG